rnacentral:lncRNA from 1 species
AAGAAUCAUCAAUCAAAUAAGCAAGCCUUCAUUACAUACAACUGAUAAACGAAAGAGAUCAAGGAAAAGCAACGACUAGCUAUAUUAUUCUUCGCAAGAAUCAAUCUCUUUCCAAGGAUUAAAUCCCUUUGGUUGACAAGCUUCGAUCCUCAUCUAAUAUUUAUACCCCCGACGUAACCUUAGUAACACAUACUUUGAUUGAAUAAAAAACCCUCUCUUUAGUCUACUGCAAAAAAAUAUUGUAGUUCUCUAAGAUCAACUGUGUAACAAGUUAGAGAAAAAAAGGAGAGUAUAACACUGGUGAGGCAUUAUAUCAAAAAUAAAAUGAGUGUUAGCGAAGCUGUAUUAUCAAGUCAUUUCUACUGUACUCACAUUUACCGAAGAGAACUCCCUUGCAACCCAAAGGGACUGGGCUAUAAUUCAUAUUGAAUCCGAG